UACAGAGGUCCCAAGCGUUGUUCGGAUUCACUGGGCGUAAAGGGUGCGUAGGUGGUGAGGUAAGCCGGAUGUGAAAGCUCGGAGCUCAACUCCGAAAUGGCAUUGGAAACUACCUUGCUCGAGGGUUGGAGGGGGGACUGGAAUGCUUGGUGUAGCAGUGAAAUGCGUAGAUAUCAAGCGGAACACCAGUGGCAAAGGCGAGUCCCUGGACAGUUCCUGACGCUGAGGCACGAAGGUCAGGGGAGCAAACGGG
rnacentral:rRNA from 1 species